rnacentral:lncRNA from 1 species
AACCGACACCCCAAUACAUAAUGUGCACUAAAUUAAGAAGUUUUAAGAAAAAUAUUAAGUAAAAGCAUUGCUAGCCGAAGAAGAGGUGAAGCACCCUUCGUGCUUUGAUAGAGGUUGUAUUUUUCAAAUGCCUGUUAAGGAGUUGCACAAGGAAGUAAGGAGUUGCACAAGGAAGGAGAGAUAGGCAGAUCCGAGCAAAGGAUGGAAUUAUCAGUAUUUGUCAAAAAAAAUUACUAAAAGAUGGAGGAUGUGAUUCAGAAGAUUUGAA